UACGUAGGGAGCAAGCGUUGUCCGGAAUCAUUGGGCGUAAAGCGCGCGUAGGUGGCCUCAUAAGUCCGCUGUGAAAGUCAAAGGCUCAACCGUUGAAAGCCGGUGGAUACUGUGAGGCUAGAGUACGGAAGAGGCGAGUGGAAUUCCUGGUGUAGCGGUGGAAUGCGCAGAUAUCAGGAGGAACACCAAUAGCGAAGGCAGCUCUCUGGGACGGUACUGACGCUGAGACGCGAAAGCGUGGGGAGCGAACAGG
rnacentral:rRNA from 1 species